GGCACUUUGGCGGAGUGGUUAACGCGAUGCCCUGCUAUUGUUUAAGCAGAGUCAGGCAUUUCCUUCGGGAGCGUGUGUUCGAAUCACACAGGUGUCG
rnacentral:tRNA from 1 species